ensembl:lincRNA
GUGAGAAUUAAGUAAGAUCAUAUAUGCAAAGUGCAUGGCACACAGUAGUCAUUUAAUACACGGUAGUUUUAAAAGCAUUUUCCUCAGAGAAUGGGGACAAGAGCUAGUACUGUCCUGUUACAAGAUACAUUAGAAAUCUUUAAUAGCUCCAGAAUAAAAGAUAUCAAAGGCACUUUACCUUAGUGGUGAGCAGAGAGGGAACCAAGUUCUCUGGAGGAACAUUAGUCCUUUUGUUAAAAUUUUAUCUGGCCUUUAAUUGGUCUAGUCUUUAUUUUAUAUACAGUUGGCCAGAACCCCAGCUAGCAUUUGUUUAACCCAUUGUAAGUAGAUUGGCAAUAAAGAUUAGCAAGGAUAAUGGCCAUAAUGAUAACGAUUGCUGAUAACCCUCAGCUCUCACUUUCUACCCUAAAAAUCUUUCUGCAGCCGGGCUCAGACUCCCUGGUUUUCCGUUUAUUGCCCCAGCUGUGGUUGCAUGGAACAAACCAGGGACUAGGAGCAAACUAAAGAUUUAUUCAUGGCGGAAGUCACAGGAUGAACUAGAAAGGGCUCCGAGCAUCCUGGGGCUGACUCAAUCUUUGAAUCUUCUCUGAAAUAUUGUUUAUAAACAAGGGCCCAGUCCAAGAGAAGUACAGCGAGAGCACAAACCAAAUAUUCUAAACUGGAAUUGGGAAGGGAAAUUGAGCAUACUUUGCAGGACCGGUAUUCCUGCCCCAGUGAUCCCUUGAGUUCUUCAUGCACCAGUGACUAUGGGAAUCAGUGAGCUCUUACACUUCAAACAAGCACCUUUUAAAGAAAUAGUGAUGGUGGGAGGAGAAACUGAGACUCGGUUGUCCUUAAUCAGAGGAAAUCUUUCUCACAAGAAAGCUUGCUUUUGGGCUAAGAAAUGCUUUGUAACCAGCCAUGCUACUAAAAAGUCUGAAGUAGUUUCCAAAACUGAGUUCCCAGACUCACACAGUAAUAAUGAUACAUUUAUCAUUACUGAUGACCACCUACUGGAAGUACUUACGUCCUGGUUCAGAAAUGGAAAACCAUAUCAUAACAGAGUGGAAGGCUGGGUGAGCGCUUGGUUCUCACCCUCUCUUGAGAAUGAAAACAGUAUUCUGAGGAUUUCUGGAGCAAAAUUUUCCAGCUCAGAGUUGCAAAAGGUUAACAUAAUGCAGCCACUUGACUUGUGCUAAUUAUGCUACACCAGUAUGUCCAGGACCUCUCCAUAAACAUAAGCAGAGUGGCCAUUAGGAGCAUGCGGAUGGGGCUUCAUCUUCUGCUUUGCCGACAGCACAAGGUCAGGUUGAAAAUGGGCUCUGCUGCACAGUCCAUGGUGGAAUCCAACAGGACCACACCAAUGACCAGCAAAUCUGCAUGCUUACCCAUGUGUCUGCACCCAUCCUCCUCCAGUGGAAGACACAUCCAACCCAUCAAAUGAGCGCAACUCAGCCUCUUGCUUUUCAGGGCCUCAUUCAUUUGUUCCCCACUGCCCAUCUCCCUCUUUCUGCACACCCUCACAUUCUCCUCUCCCUCUACUGGUUCCUUCUCACCC